rnacentral:rRNA from 1 species
UACAGAGGGUGCGAGCGUUAAUCGGAAUUACUGGGCGUAAAGCGCGCGCAGGCGGCGAUCUACGUCUGGGGUGAAAGCCCGGAGCUCAACUCCGGGACUGCCUUGGAUACGGGAUCGCUUGAGGAUUGGAGAGGCAAGGGGAAUUCCACGUGUAGCGGUGAAAUGCGUAGAUAUGUGGAGGAACACCGAUGGCGAAGGCAAUCCCCUGGACCUGUACUGACGCUCAUGCACGAAAGCGUGGGGAGCAAACAGG